rnacentral:rRNA from 1 species
GACGAACGUUGGCGGCGUGCUUAAUACAUGCAAGUCAACUGAAGCACCGGUAGUAAUACUGGUGUGGAGGUGGCGCACGGGUGAGUAACACGUAGGUAAUCUGCCUUCAGGUCUGACAUAACCCCGAGAAAUCGGGGCUAAUAGCAGAUGAUGCAGCGGCUUGACAUCAAGACAGUUGUUAAAGCUUCGGCGCCUGAAGAUGAGCCUGCGUCUGAUUAGCUAGUUGGCGGAGUAAUAGCCCACCAAGGCGACGAUCAGUAGCUGGUCUGAGAGGAUGAUCAGCCACACUGGAACUGAGACACGGUCCAGACUCCUACGGGAGGCAGCAGUAAGGAAUAUUGCUCAAUGGGAGAAAUCCUGAAGCAGCAAUGCCGCGUGAGGGAUGAAGGGCUUUUGCUCGUAAACCUCUGUAGUGAGGG